UCAUAAUAGGAAAGAACACUGAGUAUGUGGGGCCCAGAGCAAGGUUCCAGUGAUGGAGAGGAGCCAGGACUGGGGAUCAACUGUCAGGAACCUCCAAAGAAAAGGGUUUCUACAAGAUUGUGAGCCUCAGAAGUACAGAUAUUUUCUCUUGCUUUGCUCAUGACAUGUCUCGAGGACACAGAAGAGUCCCUGGUAUCGAAUCUCGCGACCCCACAGGUUGAGAACGGCUGCUAUCAAGUGUCAUGACCAGAGCCCUGGAGGUGGAAUCUCCCUUAUGUUCCCUGACCGCAGCGUCUGGCAGAGCGCAAGUUGCGGACCUUCUGGUGUGUUCUGUCCCAGCAGAAACUUUACUGGGCUGAAGUUACAUUCAUGCAACAGACUUCUGGAAGUCAAAAGGACUAAAGUCUCAUAGAGACUCAAAACUCGGAAUUACUGAUGAGUUUUUAAAUUUUACUGAUGAGUUUUAAAAUUUUUAAAUUCCUUUACUUGAAGUUCUUUCGGGAUGAUUACCUGACUACAGACCUAACCCUGGAAAAAGCCAGUGCUUCAGGUUGAUCUUCCGGCGGCUUCUAUCGCAGCCUCUUCGAGACUCUAGACUGCCCCUGCCCCGCUGCUCCUCAAGGCCUGGGUGCCACAGAGGAGGCCCUGUGAAGCUGGUUCCCAGCCUCUAGGACGAAGCUGUGUCCUGAGUCACCAAGGCUGACCUUGAGAAGGAGGAGGAAGCUUGAGUUUGUGUUGGCACAGAUACCCCUCUGCCUUUCACAACUGUUCCCCAAACAGAUUUCUUAAAACAGUCUUCCCGAAGGUUCCAGACUGGGAAUGAGAGCCCUCAGCGUUGUCAGAACUCCCUUCCUUUCUUGCUUGUUCUUCCCUCCUCUUCUUUUGUUCCCAUUGAUCUAUUCCUACGGAUUUCUCCCGCCCCCACUUUUUUUUUCUUGACUGUUCUUUCUUUCCUGACAUACAAAAUAAGGGUCAGGGGAGGAAGGGAAAGGGGGGCAGAGCCAGGGAAGGUUCACUGAGAAGUGUCGCGCCCAACAGGAGGACAAGUUGUUGAGAUCAUCUUCUCGGGUGCUGCGUGAAAGUUGCCUUUCUAUUAUUUCAAAUGUUGAUUUCUGUACCAGCAGAGUGCCGAGUGCCAUCUGGACUUUGGUUUUGUUAACCCUGGGAAAGACUCAGGUGCAGGAGAUUCACCAGCGGAACACAGAGGAAGAAACAGGUUCUGGGACUCAAGGAGAGGUAGCGGGCCACGUGGAUGAACUGAGAUUAGAACAAAUGGAUUAACAAAGUUAUAUGAGCUAGUUGGGAAACAGCCUAAACAGCUAUAAGCUUUCAUAAAUAAAUGUAAGUCUCUAUGUCAUUACUCAGGAGCUGGCAGGUCAGAGACAGUCCGGAGGUAACAAGCCAGUGAACGGAUGGAGGGAAGACAAGGAGGGGUAGAUACAGGGUACCAAUAAGAAGAUUCUAGAAGUGGUUAUUUGAAAAGGCAGAAGUCUAACGAAACAAUAUGAGCAGGCGUCUGCAACCUCUGACACGCAUGCUGACAAAGGUGUCUGACGUCAUUUUAGGCUCUGGAAUUGUGAGAAAGGCUGACACAUACAUGGAGCGGCAAGAAGAAUCGAUGAAUUGGCUUCAACCCUUGCUCUACAACCCACAGGCAUAGGAUCACGGUAAGCAGCUGAGCACAUGGCCGCUGACAUUUCCAAGUCAUUCCAGCUGAUGCGUGUUGCCAGAUGUGAGCGGAAGUCUUGUGUCACAUUUGGCUCUGGGACAUGAGACUCUUCCAUGGCCUUUCAUUUCACCACAAGUUAGGUAGGACCGAGGGCAGCACACGUUCGACCACGGAGACCAAGGCGGGACUGCUGGGCUAGCACAGCAAUUCUCCAGAAGAAUUGGGUGUCUACAUAAAAUCAAGGAUCUGAGCAACAUACCUGAACACAUACCGGCCCUUCUGCAAUUAUUGUUGGACGUCACUGUGGCAGUCCAGCCUUACCAGAGCCCAGAAGGUUUGGUUAAUAAAACAUU
rnacentral:lncRNA from 1 species